UCAAGGGAAAUUUAAAUAAAACGUUUUAAAAAUAUACUGUUUUAUUAUUAUUGACAGAUGUAUACAGUUGUGUGCGUUACAUUUUCGUAAUUUAGUACACAUUUUUUAAAUAAUAACAUAACUAUAUAUUAUGAUAUUAAAACUAAUAUCUAUCGGUCGACAUUAACCGUUUUUAAUAAUAGAGUUCACUACCAUCCUAUGGGUGUGGAACCAAGAGGACAACUAAACCUCUAAACCUCUAACCUCUACAUACUUUAGUCAAUAGUCACCAUUUUAAUACAUACUCAUAUUUAAAAUCCAUUAUAUGGCAAAUAGCUUACUCAUAAAAAUAAAAAAAUGUGUGUGUGUGUCAGCUCCGACGCACGACUGGAGUUUACUCCUUCAGAUCGACUGUUUAAAUAGGCACAAAAGACUUACUAGUCUAAAAAAAAGAUCAACACCAUAUUGAAUGGUAAAUAAACGAAUCAAAUAACGUCGUAGCGUCAUCUCGGUUAUCCGAUAGAUGGCGUUACGAGAAACGUAACGAGGUCAUUCGUUCAGUAGAUUUUACUCCUCAUAUUUUUUUCAUACCGGGGGCCUUGUGUGAAGAUCGAUU
rnacentral:misc_RNA from 1 species